CAUCCAGCUCACUCCUCACUCUCUCCUCUUUUGUUGAGCUUCCAUCUUUCUCGUUAGGCGAAAUCUUGGUCACAGCUUUGUCAUCGGAAUCUCGCGGCCUUCUCGUCGGAAGCUCUUCUCUUUUGUAGAGCUGUAGCCGUUCUCAUCAGGCGAAAUCUGGGCACAGCUUUCUCGUCAGAAGCGUCGGAAGAUCUUGGCCAUUGUAGAGCUUGGACCCCUCUUCGGAACCCAUCUCUGCUAGCCAGCUGCGCCUCUCUCCCCUCCCAAUUUGCCACUUUUACAACCACAACAGGACUCCCCAACCAAUUUUGUGUCCCAUUUGCACUGCACCUUUUCUUUUUACUUGGCAAAUGGCUUUCAAAUUCGUGGCUGUGCUCUGUUGCUUAGAAACAGCAUAAGGGAUUCUCUUAAACAUGUUGAGGGCUGGGGCUGGAAUUCAACUGCAUGAACCAUGGAAAUCAAUGCAUCUGCUCUUGUUGAAUGUGAGCGGGUUAUGAUAUUAAAGAACAAUGUUCGAGAUCAUCUCAUGCUGGUCUGAUAGAGUUGCAGAGGAUGGACACUCGCUUGGCACGUAUAGAGGAUCAUUUAAGCAUUACUCCACCUCAGGAUGGAGCUGCAGAUGAAGAUGACGAUUGAAGCUGCA